UAUUAUGAUAGAUGCAGGAAUUGGUUCAGCAACAACAUCAACAUUGGCUCCGUCUACCACCUUUUCCCAUCUUAAGAAAAUUACGAUAUACAGCUGCUCAAGUAUGAAGACGUUGCUUCCACAUUGGUUGCUUCCAAACCUCCAAAACCUGGAAAAAAUAUCAGUGUCACAUUGUGAUGAGGUAGUAGAAAUAUUGGGAGUAGCAACAUCAGAAGUUGAAGAAAAAGGGAGUGAUGCAUUAAUCAAAUUCCAUCUUCCCAAAUUGAAAGAAUUGAGACUACGUAAGUUACCAAAUUUGAAGAUCAUUUGCAGCAAAAGUGGAGUGAUGGUUUGUGAUUCUCUCCAACUUAUCCAUAUUAUUAGAUGUGAUAAACUGAAGAGAAUUCCUCCAUUUGUUCCCCUUGUUGGCAAUGGGCAGCCAUUUGCAUAUGCUCCACC
rnacentral:lncRNA from 1 species